AACCAGUCGGAGAGGUUGAAGGAAAGGGGGGAGUGAUUUAAGGAGAGGAGGCUGAAGACAUAAACUGAAAUACAUACUUGUGACGAAGGAUUGUGCAGACUCAGACCCUGUGGCUGAACUGGAAGGAAGCACAUGUGAUGCGUACAGAAAGGCUGCAAUAAGAAAUGAGACUCCGGAGCUACAAAGAACCCGCUGUGUUGGCCUCUCGUCACCCCAGCCCCUCCUAGCCCUGACUUCCACUGAAGAGGAGAGGCUCGGGCUCCUCUCCUCUCUGAUGUGCCUAAUUAUGCCGACGCUGCGGCCAAACCGGCUCCCACCU